AGCGAACGUUUGCGGCGGGCUUAACACAUGCAAGUCGAACGGGCUGUUCCUUCGGGGGCAGUCAGUGGCGCACGGGUGCGUAACACGUAGGUAAUCAACCCUCUGGUUGGGGAUAACACUUCGAAAGGAGUGCUAAUACCCGGUAUGGCGCAGCGGUCUUCGGAUCGCGGCGAGAAAGACCCGCAAGGGUUGCCAGAGGACGAGCCUGCGGCCCAUCAGCUAGUUGGCGAGGUAACGGCUCACCAAGGCGAAGACGGGUAGCUGGUCUGAGAGGAUGAUCAGCCACACUGGAACUGAGACACGGUCCAGACUCCUACGGGAGGCAGCAGUGGGGAAUAUUGCGCAAUGGGCGAAAGCCUGACGCAGCCACGCCGCGUGAGCGAUGAAGGCCUGUCGU
rnacentral:rRNA from 1 species